rnacentral:lncRNA from 1 species
UCACUGCAGAAUCUUGAAGGAGGCGGAAAUGAUUGCAUUUUAAAGUAAAAAUUAUUUCCCCACACUUGUAUACUCACCGUGUCCAAGCAGCCAGUCCAUCAGCAGGCAUCAAGACGUGUGUUCCAAGUGCCCAGUCCAGGAUCCCUUGCAAGGACAUGAAGGAGGAGAGACACCAGCUAUCCACCAGCAAGUCUCCUUGACUCCUUGGAGAUGGGUCACAAGCAGAUGAUUUGUCAGUAUUAUGCAUCCCUUGUGCACACCCCAGUGUGUCUGAGGUCCUGGAAGCUGUUCACAUUUCAGUGUGCUGCAAGGUAGAGAGCAGUGAAGCCCUUGGUGGAUUGAGGACUGACCUCCACACUUCCCUGCAGCUCCAGCUUUGGGACCAUCCUUUCUCUUGGCAUCGGAGCUCAGAGGUCUUUCUUUGUUAAAUUCUACUUCAAUUGGUUUAAUUCUGUUUUCUUGCUGGAAGAGGAUUCAGUAAAACAAACAAAACAUCUUACCAAUGUGAAUAUUCACAAUUAAUGAAAAAACUCUGAAACAGGAAGGUCAUUUCUUGGGGAGGGAGACUGGUAUUAUUUUGAAUGAAGGCAAGAGUGCAAAGAUCUUGCAAUAUUUGCUGUAAAUGGGUUGUUAUGGUGAACAUUCCUGUCAGCAAGUUCAUUAGCUCAGAGAUCCACGAGUGAACAGAGACCAAAAAAUAUUUUUAAAAAUUCAAGAACAGAUUAGUGGACAAUAUUUUGCAAUCUUUGUCUAGCUCUGCUUCUCACUGAGAAUUAGUAACUUUACUCCAGGCCAGAUUCAAAUAGUCUUACUCAUGCAGAGCAGCACUGUGUUUUAUGAGUAACCCCAGUGACAUUUAGGGCUGUAUUUUGGAAUAAGAUUGGAAUCAGAGAAAGACAGUGGGAGGCAUAGCUGAAUCACCUUGAUUAAUAAGUGUAAGAUUGUUGGCUUUUUAUGUGUCUAUAUAAAUAAACAUAAUGAGAAUAAGGAGGGAUGUCUGAGU